GCGACCCCAGGUCAGGCGGGGCUACCCGCUGAAUUUAAGCAUAUCAAUAGGCGGAGGAA
rnacentral:rRNA from 1 species